rnacentral:misc_RNA from 1 species
GAUGAAGAACGCAGCAAAAUGCGAUACGUAAUGUGAAUUGCAGAAUUCAGUGAAUCAUCGAGUCUUUGAACGCACAUUGCGCCCCUUGGUAUUCCGGGGGGCAUGCCUGUCCGAGCGUCAUUGCUGCCCUCAAGCACGGCUUGUGUGUUGGGCCUCCGUCCUCCUCCCGGGGGACGGGCCCGAAAGGCAGCGGCGGCACCGCGUCCGGUCCUCGAGCGUAUGGGGCUUCGUCACCCGCUCUUGUAGGCCCGGCCGGCGCUUGCCGACACAUCAAUCUUUUUUCCAGGUUGACCUCGGAUCAGGUAGGGAUACCCGCUGAACUUAAGCAUAUCAAUAAGCGGAGGA